UAGGGAAUUUUGCGCAAUGGGGGCAACCCUGACGCAGCAACGCCAUGUGUGGGAUGACGCAUUUCGGUGUGUAAACCACUGUCGGCAGGGAAUAACGCCCCUUUAGAUGGGGGGAUGAAUGUACCUGCAGAGGAAGCCCCGGCUAACUUCGUGCCAGCAGCCGCGGUAAUACGAGGGGGGCAAGUGUUGUUCGGAAUCACUGGGCGUAAAGGGAGCGUAGGCGGGAGCCUAAGUUGGAUGUUUAAUCGGGGGGCCCAACCCCCUACCGGCAUCCAAAACUGGGUUUCUUGAAUGGGAGAGAGGUCGAUGGAAUUGGAGGUGUAGCGGUGGAAUGCGUAGAUAUCUCCAAGAACACCCGUUGCGAAGGCGGUCGACUGGCUCCACAUUGACGCUGAGGCUC
rnacentral:rRNA from 1 species